rnacentral:rRNA from 1 species
UAAUACGGAGGGUGCAAGCGUUAUCCGGAAUCACUGGGUUUAAAGGGUGCGUAGGCGGUUUUAUAAGUCAGGGGUGAAAGCAUGCAGCUUAACUGUAUAAUUGCCUUUGAUACUGUAAGACUUGAAUAAGGUUGAGGUUGGCGGAAUGUGACAUGUAGCGGUGAAAUGCUUAGAUAUGUCAUAGAACACCGAUUGCGAAGGCAGCUGACUGGGCCUUUAUUGACGCUGAGGCACGAAAGCGUGGGGAGCGAACAGGAUUAGAUACCCUGGUAGUCCACGCCCUAAACGAUGUAUACUCGUUGUUUGCAUCUUGAAUGUGAGCAACCAAGCGAAAGCGUUAAGUAUACCACCUGGGGAGUACGCCCGCAAGGGUG